rnacentral:rRNA from 2 species
AUGGGAGCUUGCUCCCUGAUGUUAGCGGCGGACGGGUGAGUAACACGUGGGUAACCUGCCUGUAAGACUGGGAUAACUCCGGGAAACCGGGGCUAAUACCGGAUGGUUGUUUGAACCGCAUGGUUCAGACAUAAAAGGUGGCUUCGGCUACCACUUACAGAUGGACCCGCGGCGCAUUAGCUAGUUGGUGAGGUAACGGCUCACCAAGGCGACGAUGCGUAGCCGACCUGAGAGGGUGAUCGGCCACACUGGGACUGAGACACGGCCCAGACUCCUACGGGAGGCAGCAGUAGGGAAUCUUCCGCAAUGGACGAAAGUCUGACGGAGCAACGCCGCGUGAGUGAUGAAGGUUUUCGGAUCGUAAAGCUCUGUUGUUAGGGAAGAACAAGUGCCGUUCAAAUAGGGCGGCACCUUGACGGUACCUAAGGGGAAAGCCACGGCUAACUACGUGCCAGCAGCCGCGGUAAUACGUAGGUGGCAAGCGUUGUCCGGAAUUAUUGGGCGUAAAGGGCUCGCAGGCGGUUUCUUAAGUCUGAUGUGAAAGCCCCCGGCUCAACCGGGGAGGGUCAUUGGAAACUGGGGGAACUUGAGUGCAGAAGAGGAGAGUGGAAUUCCACGUGUAGCGGUGAAAUGCGUAGAGAUGUGGAGGAACACCAGUGGCGAAUGCGACUCUCUGGGUCUGUAACUGACGCUGAGGAGCGAAAGCGUGAGGAGCGAAC